UGCGCAGGCGGAUAGAUGUGUCAGGUGUGAAAUCUCGGGGCUCAACCUCGAAACUGCGCCUGAAACUGUCUAUCUAGAGUAUUGGAGAGGUAAGCGGAAUUUCCGGUGUAGCGGUGAAAUGCGUAGAUAUCGGAAGGAACACCAAUGGCGAAGGCAGCUUACUAGACAACUACUGACGCUCAGGCACGAAAGCAUGGGUAGCGAAAG
rnacentral:rRNA from 1 species